AAGGAAAAUGAAUCAAGUGCUUAAAAAUCAUCAGCAAUUUUGAUCUGCUAAUAAGAUCCUGAAUAUUUAAAAAUCAGAGAGGAAGGAUUAAUACAGGUGGAACAGUUCAAACAAAGACAUCCUUCCCUGUUUCUGGCAGCCAGACUAUCUUUAAAGCAGCACAUGGAAACACUGAAAACUCUGAACACUGGCUUCAGUGAGAAACAAGAAGCUUUUGAACAACAAAAGCCUGGAUCAAAUCUUGAGUCCCAGUAUACACAACGGAGAGACAUUUCCCUGUGCUGCCUUUCUGAUGCCCCCAAGUUUUGCUCUCAAAGCUGGACACCAGGCUGCCUGCAGCAAUGGAAUUCCCUGCUGCCUAACCUGAGCAGGGACAGAGGUUAUCACUGACUAGGCUGUGAUGAACUGUAUGGAAACACAGCCUGUGAUAUGUCAGGCAAGUCAGAAAAUUUUGCUCUCUUCCACACAAAGGACAGCUCCUGUCACUGACAUCAGGUGACUUUUCACCUUCCAUAUUUGAUCAGUGGCCUGGAUUCAGAGUGGGAAGAGCAGAAGUAUCUAAAAUCUGUUCCUAGCUAGCAACAAACCUUGAUGUGACAGCAGAGGAGGAAAGCAAAUAGCUGGGACCUGUUCCUGCAGUGCUCAAGCAGGUGAG